GAUGAACGCUGGCGGCGUGCUUAACACAUGCAAGUCGAACGAAGAUGCCGGAGUGCUUGCACUUUGGCAGACUGAGUGGCGGACGGGUGAGUAACGCGUGGGUAACCUGCCUUAUACAGGGGGAUAACAGUUGGAAACGACUGCUAAUACCGCAUAAGCGCACGGUAUCGCAUGAUACAGUGUGAAAAACUCCGGUGGUAUAAGAUGGACCCGCGUCUGAUUAGCUAGUUGGUGAGGUAACGGCCCACCAAGGCGACGAUCAGUAGCCGGCCUGAGAGGGUGAACGGCCACAUUGGGACUGAGACACGGCCCAAACUCCUACGGGAGGCAGCAGUGGGGAAUAUUGCACAAUGGGGGAAACCCUGAUGCAGCGACGCCGCGUGAGUGAUGAAGUAUUUCGGUAUGUAAAACUCUAUCAGCAGGGAAGAUAAUGACGGUACCUGACUAAGAAGCAACCGGCUAAAAUACCGUG
rnacentral:rRNA from 1 species